GGGUAGCUGUUCCCUUCUCCAGGGGAUCUUCCCAACCCUGGUCUCUCACAUUGCAGGUGGAUUCUUUACCAGCAGAGCCACCAAGGAAGCCCAGUUAUCUCUGAAACUCGUAGGUCAUCACAGAGAACCAGACUGGGCUCCCCGUGCUGCACAGCAAAAGCUUUUAACAGUCAAAAAUGUCACUAAGUGUUGUGAAUUGCUCCAGUAUGAAGUGAAUUUCCUGUCCCUGGAACUCUUUGAGGCCACUUUCUGCCUCAGAGGAGAAUCUUCUCAUCUAUAAUAACAACGAAAGUUGAACCUGUUUUGGACUUACAACCCAAUCUGUGGAAUGUAGAUUGAAGACAUGAGAGACUGUCCAGUGGGAAGAAGAGAAUGAAGAUUGUCCCAGGGUUUUCUUUCAAAGAAAAUACAGCAAGAUUUGAAGAAACCAAAUAUGGCCAUUGAGUCUACAGUCUGCCCAUAAAUGGUAGUGAUAUAGCUAUUUCUACAACACUGUCUCUGAGUGUGCAACAGAUAAAGAAUAAGAGAGCC
ensembl:lncRNA